GCGAGUGAAGCGGCAAAAGCUCAAAUUUGAAAUCUAGCACCUUCGGUGUUCGAGUUGUAAUUUGAAGAUGGUAACCUUGGGUUUGGCUCUUGUCUAUGUUCCUUGGAACAGGACGUCAUAGAGGGUGAGAAUCCCGUCUGAUGAGAUGCCCAUUCCUAUGUAAGGUGCUAUCGAAGAGUCGAGUUGUUUGGGAAUGCAGCUCUAAGUGGGUGGUAAAUUCCAUCUAAAGCUAAAUAUUGGCGAGAGACCGAUAGCGAACAAGUACAGUGAUGGAAAGAUGAAAAGAACUUUGAAAAGAGAGUGAAAAAGUACGUGAAAUUGUUGAAAGGGAAGGGCAUUAGAUCAGACUUGGUGUUUUACGAUUAUCUUCUCUUCUUGAGUUGUGCACUCGUAUUUCACUGGGCCAGCAUCGAUUCGGAUGGCAAGAUAAUGGCAGUUGAAUGUGGCUUCACUUCGGUGGAGUGUUAUAGCUUCUGCUGAUAUUGCCUGUCUGGAUCGAGGGCUGCGUCUUUUGACUAGGAUGCUGGCGUAAUGAUCUAAUGCCGCC
rnacentral:rRNA from 1 species